GCCGACGGGGGCGAUGAAGAAGGUCACGCCGUCGGCGGGGUUCGUGUCGCCUGCGUUGGGGGUUACGGCGAACGUCAGGGUGGUCUCGAAGUCGACCUGCGCGCCGGCCUCCCAGAACGUGAUCGGGGCUGAGUACACGGCCCGGCCGACGCUGUACUGGACCGCGCUGCCGGAGCUGGUGGUGUUGGUCAUGCGGAGGAAGGUGGAGUCCGACGGGAAGUGGGCGUCGCCUUGGUAGAGGAGAUCGGUCGGCUGGUCGCCCCAGAAGUCGUACGUGAAGGCUGUCGAUUGGGACUGCAUGCGCCGUGUUGGCGGCGGUGGCGAGGAGGAGGGCGAUGGAGAUUAGGGUUUGGAGAAGCUUGGCCAUGGCUUAAUUGAGUUAGUAGUAUUUGCUUUGGAUGUGGUGUGAUGAUGGUGUAUUGGUGUUAACUCUUGCUCCUAUUUAUGCUAGUAUAGUGCUUGAAUGAAAAUGUUAUUUAAAUUAACAUCAUAUUUUUUAUUACACAAAAAUGACUCACCCCAUCUUCUCGAGAUUAACUGAACUUGUGAUCUCUAAUAAUUUAUAACCUACCACAUUGUAGUUGUUGGAGUAUACUCCCUCUGUCCCGGUUUUAGCACGAGUUUUAAUAAAUUGGUUGAUUGUAUUAUGAGUAGAAUAAGGAUAAUAUUUUUUAUGGAAGUGUUAAAAUAAUUAAAAUUGAGAAAAUGUUUCACCUAUUUUUAUUAAAAAUAGAAAUGAAUUUUAAAAUAUGGGACGACGGCCAGAAAAAGAAAAUAUAUAUGGAUACUAAAAGUUGGGACGGAGUGAGUAUUAUCUAUAGUGGUAUCUAUUGUAUGAGUACAAGAGAUUUACUUGACUUGUUGAGGUAUGGAGAGAUUAUUACAAACCACGUGAAAUUGAGUUCUUGCUCCCACUGUAAAAGCAAUAAAUAUAGGGAAAAGAAAAUUAAUACUUCCUUCGUCCAAGAAAUGAGUACACAUAUUUCUUUUUUAGUCCGUUCAUGAAAUGAGUACUCAUUAAUUUUUCUUUUUAUCAAGUGUACCUCACACAACCCUUUAAUUAAUUAAUACCUUUAAAAAGUGGGUCCCUUAUUCCACUAACACCACACUCAAUCAUUUCUUAAAACCUGUAACGUCCCCAAAUGAGAUUCAUUUCGUGGAUUGAGUAAAUUCUAUACUACAAAUUAAUGGUUCGAAUUCACUUUAAAAAAUAAACUACAAUUAAGAGUCCCUCUCUUAAUUGGAAUUCAUAGACCAUCUGCUUCAGUCGUGCCCGAAGACAGAAAAGGUUUGGAUUGGAAUUCAUAGGUGGCUAGGGAAUAAAAGCAGUGUGGCCUCAAUCAUUGAAGCACACUUCGAUUUGUUCACAAAUCUUGACAAAGGAAAGGAAGGUCGAUUUUUCUAGCGACAGUAUGGGUCUAUACCAUUUGGUUGCUGUGGAAAUGACGUAACGAGAGCAGAUUUGAGGGCAAGACUUGGGAGAUCAAUGACGUGAUCGAAGAAGUGAAAGUGAGGAUGUGGAGUUGGAACAAGAUUUUUGGACUACAUGUUAAAGAGAUUAGCUCUCAAUCUUGGUUUUCUUGUGAAACUCCUCUUGUUUUGUGUAAUUUGGUCGUAUCUCUGGUACCAAACUCUCUCCUAAUAAAAUUUCUUUUCUGAUUAAAAAAAAAAAAAAGAGUCCCUCUCUUAAUCAAGUAGACUGGAUGCGGUAAGAGAGAAAUCACUUCCAACUUAUCGAUUUUACUAGCAACAACUAGAUUUAUACUGAAGCUAAAUUGGAUCAGACUCUAGGAUUCACUAGUCUUUUACUCAAGGUGAGUCGGUUUACGAGUCUCAAACUCAAGGUGAACUAGAAUGUCUGUCAAUACGAACGUUGGGAGUUCGAGGGUUUUUUAGGACAGUAACUUAGAUUGAUUUGGAAAUUAGGACAAUAACUUUCGGACUUGUAAAAAUAGGACUCUAAUUCUUUUUAAGAGUAAAAUAGGACACUAAUUAAUAAGUGUUACAUCCGCAGGACAUUUUUCGGCCAAUUAUCGGCCGAGAAAUGUCCUACUUUUACGACGCUUAUUAAUUAGUGUCCUAUUUUUACAAAUUCGAAAGUUUUGUCUUAAUUUUCAAAUCAACAUAAGUUAUUGUCCUAAAAAAUCCCCUGACUCCGAACGUUGGAACAAGCUCGGCAAUAUACUGCUAUUCAACAUUAAUGGCACUUUGCACUAAAUGAAUUGGUGUCGAAUUAAUACAUCGUCUUGCUGCUCAUAUCUAUAUAAUAAAUGCAUACCUGCACCUCGAUAUUAAUCAAUUUAGAUACACUAAAUCUCGGAUAUACUUAACAAAUGGAUUAAUAAAUGUAUAAAUUUUAGAUUUCAGAAAAUCAAAUACAGGUGUUCAUAAGGAAAUGAUUAAAAACCCGUGUGUCAUUUAGAUAAGAUUAUUAUAGUACAGUUAACGAUGGUGAAAUAUUCUUUUACAUUAGAUAUAAUAGCAUUCCAGAUCUCAAUGGCAUUUUUUGUUAUAACAAAAAAAAAUUGUAUAUGUUCCAUACUAUCCUCAAACUUCAAAUUAUUAUUUUUCUUUAUUUUAAAAUUUGUAUUGGCACAUAUCUGUCAAUUAAUCAAAUUCAUAUCAAAACAAUAAUUCGAAUGAUAUAUUAGUUGGCUAGCUAUAAAUUACAAAUUAUUAGUGAUUAGGCAUGUUUUACACAAAUUAUUAGCCCAAACAACAUUUGAUUGUGUGCAAUGCACACACUUACUAAAAGCAGAUGUGAUCAUCUGUCCCACAAUUUAGUGUGUAUCACCGUGUACCAUUCUUAAUUUGUCUAUUUUAUAAUUAUUUGUUGUAAAAAUAAAAAAAAUAUUGUUAUAUUAUGAACUCUAAUUAAAAUUUAUAACUAAAAAUAAAAAUUAAAAAAAAUUAUAUACCCUAACUUUGAAUUAAUUAACCCAAAUAAUCAAUUAUUAAUUCAAAUAAAUAUAAAAAAUAAUUAUAAACUCUAAUUGAAUGAGUGAACCCUUAUUAAUUAGUUUCUUAUUAUAUUAUAAUAAAUUAAAAUUGAAGAAAAUAUAAUUAUAUAUUAUAAUAAAUUAAGAGUGGUACACGGUGGUACACACUAAAUUGUGGGACAGAUCCAUGUGCACUAAAUUAUAGGUACGGAGGUGCGGAUGCGGGGGCGAUACGAUACGAGUACGGGGAUACGGGUUCUAAAAAAUUAUAGGGUGCGAUUCGGCAAGGAUACAUCUAAUUAUUAAAAUUUUAUGAUAUACUAAUUGUUAGAAAUGGAUAUUGGGCCAAUUCCUCCCUUAAAAGGCCUUAUAAGGGAGAGGGUUACCUCACCAUAUAAAGUGGCUCAUGCCACUAUCUCCAAUCCAAUGUGGGACACUUCAAUACUAAUGCUUAUAAAAUAUAUACAAUUUAAAUUUUCUUAAAUUAAUUAUAUGUAAUUUACAUUUUAUUUUACCCAAAAGUUAAGCAUUUUCAAUUAUAUAAGUUAAUUGAGCAACAAUAUAACGAUUCAAAUAUUAUUAGUCCAAUAUAUAAGUCAUAACUGAAAAUAAAAUUAUCAAAAUAACCUUGUGUAGGCCUUUCGUGCACGAGAUACGUGAAUUUCGCCUAUGGAAUUUGCAAAUCCGGUUUAUUUUUAUAAAUUGUUUUAAAAGAUACGCACUGGUGAAUCGGUGCGAAUCCGACAAGAAUUCGAGAAAUCACACCCUAAAAGAAUCCGAUUCGCCGUACAUCUAAUUUUUGAAGAAUCCGUGCAUCAUAGGUGAGAAGAAACACAAGAGAGUAAAAUGGUACAUAAUGUAGAAAGACUUUUCUCCAAAAUAAAUGUUACAGUCUUCUAAUAGUCGAAAGGCGCAUGAAAAUGCGCAGUUAUUCGAAAGAAAGGAAAGGCUUAUUCAGCCACACAAUGACAUGGAAUUCGAAUUGAAAUUGAAAUUCAGACAAAUCCCAAACACGGUGAUGCAGAGAUCAAGCGGUAACACGAGGAAUGAUCUUAAUACCACCGAUGGUAACUUCGUCGCCGUUAAUGUGGGGAACGAUGGUGACGACAAUGAAAUCAUCAUCAGCAAUAUUGAUGUUCUCAUAGAGCUCCCUCAAGUUCAAGCGAAGGUCGUUGGCGCUUUCCGCAGCCCUAACCCUAUGCGGAAUCUGCGUGAAACUGCCGGCGAACUCGGCCCUGGCGAGGUCCUCUGGCUUGUCGUCUUCGUCAUUCACGAACACAUCGAACCUCACGAGCUUCGAACUAUCGGUGAUUAUGUUCUCCAGCACGAGCACUUCGUCGGCUUUGCCUUUGGUUGGUUUGGGCACCAAAACCCUGUGAGUCUUGUUGAGAGUGAGAGGGAACAGAUUGUCUCCACUCUCUGCCCUCUUGGAGAGAUCUUCGAUAUUCACCGGCACCUCCCUCCGCGGUGGCCGGUAGGCUGUCCACGGAGUUUCGCUGUGUUCAUACACGUAUCCCAUUUUGGUGUGGUCCAAGCAGUCGGCCACCUUGACGCGCACGAGGUUCUUCUUCUCGUCGUAGAACAUGAACGCCGCGUUGUUGAAAUCGUCGGGGUUGGGGACGACGAGGUCGUUGAUAUCCUUGGGGAAAACGGAUGGGAUAGUUUUCCAUAUGGUCCACAUUCUGUCGACGUUAGCGUGAUGUGCGUAGAAGAGAGGGUCUCUUCCGGCGGAGUAGAAGUUCCCCAUGUCUUCGCGGAAAUCGUUGGCGGGGUUUCCGGUCCAGACGUGGACGCCGCCGUGUGAGCCGCCCUCCGACAAUCCUCCCUUGGCGCGUGGCGGGGGCAAGUCCCCGGAAACGUAAGGAUCGCCCAUGAAGUCGAUGGCGGAUUCGACAUCACCAAUCAUUUCCUUGUACAUCUGAGUGAGAUUGUUUUCGAUGAUCGUUACAGGAUCGGUGAUCGGGGGGGUGGUUAUGGCAAGAGCAACGAGGGCCGGGGGGCGAUGCGUUGGGUCGCGGUUGACGUCGUAGAGCGGGGAUUCUUCCCUGUCGAACGGCCUGGGCAUCUGCAUACCCCUAGGGUUGUCCCAGUUCCAGUAGGGCAGGGCGAAAUCGGGAUCUCCGAUGAGUUCGCCCAUGAUCCUCUCGAAGAAAUAGAGGUACCACCUGUGGAAGGGGUGGAUCCAGAAUUUGUCAUUAGGAGGGACUAAAUUUGUUGAAGCAUGACGUCUCAAAUUAUUAGCCAAUUUUUUUUAGCAUUCCAUACAGUUCAUUUUUUUGUCGAACUACAUUCGAUUAAUUCAACAACAAGAACAUUGAAAGCAUAUAAAUACUUACCUCUCAAAAAUUGUUUCAUCUUCUAAGAAGAUAAGCUAAUUUUCAUCAUGGCAGUUCAUAAUUUUAAUUUAACUUGAGGAUUGACUCAAAUUCAACACUGAGAAUCAACUAAGAAAGGAAAGUAGACAAAAAUAACAUAAAUUUAACAAACUAACAUAUCAAAUUUAAAUCACUAUAAAAUAUUAAACAGUUAAAACGUGGAUACUAUAAUUAAUAAAACAAUGUAUUUUAUUAUCUCUUGUAUUUCUUAUCUAUACUAAUAGAAAAAGAGUCUAAGACAGUCUAAGGCACAACUUGUGGAUUGCCUAUUUUACCCUUAUUAUAUAUUUAUUAUUAUAUUUACAAAAUAUAAAUCUAUUUUGAUAAAUAUUUAUUUGUCACUCAAAUCUAUAAAGAAUACUUUAUAUCUAUAGCUAUUGAUAAGGCUUAUAAAUAAAUAUAUUCAUCCACAACGUACGUUCUUUCUGCUAGUAUAUAAUAAAAACAAAAACAAAAAACUCAAAAUUUGGGAGGCGGUCGAUCCGCUGCUAACCUGUGGAAAGGGAAGAAGAUCCAUGAGUUGUGAACCUGGAUAUCGAUGCCGGGGUGGUCCACCUGGUCGUAGGGGCCGUUGCAGUAAGCGCAGUGGAUGUUGGCCUGCUGAGUGAAGCCACGGGGAUCGUCGGGGUCCGUCACGUCCAGUUCCUUCAUCUUCUGGAUGGCCAACUCAUACUUGCGUACGUAUUCCGGUGUCAGCCUGUGCGCCGCCGGCCUAACGCGAGGUUUAGUGAACCUCGGAAGCUUGUAGUCGCUCUGAACGUCGGUGUAGGGCGGGCAGCAGUUGACGUCUAGAGAUAUUACCUCUUGGUUUCGAGUGGUGUAGGCACCUUCGGGGUCGCAGGUGCUCAGGUCAGGAGGCAAAAUCGGAAGCGCCUCAGCUUUGCGGAUGGCGCUGCCUGCGCCGUAUAGACCGCCCAGCCCAAGCAGCAUGUUUCUGCGGUCUAUACGGCCGCUGCCACCGCCACCGCUGCUGCAUGACACCUGAAAGCGGCCGUGGCUCCGCCGGCUGCUGAGCUGGGAGGGCUUGCGAAAUGGGGAGUUGGUGGCGGCGGCGAUCGCCGUGAAUGAAGAUUGAAGGGAAGCCAUGUUUGAGUGAUUGAUUGAUGGUCGUUGUGAUUACCUGGGGAGGCAUGUCUUUAUAUAGCAGAUGUGACACGAGUUUUAAGAAAAAUAAAUUAUCCGUUGAAUAAUUAAAUCGCCAUGUUUCUAUAAUUUAUUCCUAAUGGAUCUAGUCAAACUAAUCGUGCAAUAUUUAAUAAACCACGCAGCAUCAUUUCCGAGACUAAUAAAUGACAUUUUGAACCAGCUAAUCAAUUCCAUAUAAUUAACCAUUUGCGAGGCUGGCUGCCCUUCACUAAAUGGUUGUAUGCACUUGUCUUUGGAAAAGCUGUUUGGCCAUAUUAUGGCCAGUCAUAAUAUGGGAAAAUAUUAUAAAAGUCAUGUAUUUAAUUUUUUAUAUUUAAAAUAAAAAUAGGAUUUUAUUAGUUUUAUUUUUUAUUACAUAUUUUAGCUAUUUUUUUUUAUAAUUUUUCUGAAUUUUUUAGAAAAAUAAAAAAUAAAAUUACAAUGUGAACAAAAUUAUAAAACUAAUAAUGGUAGAGCAGCGGAGGGCACAGGUGAAGGGCAUGGCGGCGGUGUACUUAUUUUAGUCAAGUAAUUAUUAUUGCACGAAAAAAUAAUUAUUAAUAUAAAGAAAGAUAAUGUUUCAAAGACAUUAUCUUUCUUCAUGUCUAUUAAUUUUUCAUCACAAUAAUAAUUACUUCGAAUUAUCCGUGUUUUCAAUCGUGCGACCUGCACCCAGCCCGACCCGACCCGUUUCACCCAUAUAGUCAGUCUCACCCAAGUUUUUGCCUAAAGAUAAGUAUUAAUUAGUUGUGUAUGGUGAUAUGAGUCUUGUUUGUAUAAAUUAGUAGGCCUUUAAUAAUGAAUUGGCCCAUCUCAGGUGGUUUAUAUAAUUUACUCGUAUGGAUCUAAAUACAACUAAUCAUGAAAUAUUUAAUAUACCACGGAGCAUCUUUCUGAUAUACUAUUUAUAUAGUAAUUUAUUCCUAAUGGAUCUAAUCUCUGACUAUUUAAUAAUUAACUCGCCAUCGUUUAAAUAAUUUACUCCUUAUGGAUACACUCAAAGUAAUCGUGCAAUAUUUAAUAUACCACGCAGCAUCAUUUCUCAUACAAUAUUUUGGACCAUCUAACCAAUUACAUAUAAUUAAACCUUUUGCCAGGGUGGCUGUCCCUUCCACUAUAUGGUUGCAUGUAUUGAAUUGAAAUUUUAUUGAGGAAAAAAUGAAAAGAAAAACUAGGAAUUCAUUGAUAGCACGAAGACGCUAAUUAAGGGCUGAGCCUCAUCAAAACCUUUCCGAUAAAAAUCCAGUGAAAAAAACCACCAGCAAAGGAAAAAGAGUACCAGUCUAUUACAAUAAAAAAAUGAAGAACAAACUCAAGACAGGAACAACGAGAAGCACGAGAGGAUGAUAAAACAUCUAACCCGAAAAAAAAGACCCAAACCAAAGGAGCCUGACAAAUCCGGAGCCAGUACCAGCGCACCAGGAAACUGAAAAAGUUCUGGAGAAGCCACUUCGACCCAAGCACGCCAACCAUCCAAAAGAAACGACUACCACACCCACACCUAGGCCAAGAAAUAUAUAAUAUUGUGAAUAGUUCCCAUGGGAUCGAAACAGACCACCAAAACAAGAAAAAACCUCUAAGAGCAGACUACUCAUUGCCUGCCUGCCUAGUAUUCGAUGAAAUACCCAAACCAGAAAUCAUAGCAUAAAGCAAAAACCGCCACAGCUGGGGAGCGAAGAGCAGAAGGCCACCAAUAAGAUACAUUAGGAUUGCGCAAAGUCUGACAAAGAAAUCAGAAAACUUACCAGACCACUCUAGUUAAUGUAAUCUAUACAUGUCCGCACAUGAAAUUUGGUCAAGUUAGAUACACUAAUCUCAAAUCUAUUUAAUUAACAAAUUGAUUGAUUGAUAUUUUUUUCUGAGAGAAAUUGAUUGAAUAAUUUUUAGACUUCAAAAACUAAUAGUUAAUUGAUUGUUUAGAUAAGAUUAUUAUUACACUUUUAUAUAGAGAUAAUUAGUACUUGAGAUAUGUGCAAUUUACGCAUUCUUCUCUCGAGACAAAAUAAAUAUUAUUGACCAUUGAGAACUCUGCUACCACUACUCCAGUUCUAUUUAUUAUCAGUGUGCCCUCUCGCGCGCUGCACGGGUCACAACAUAUUUGAUUAUUUAAUUUUAGCUGUUUACGCAUACUUCGCUCGAGACAAAAAUAAAAUAAGAUUUAUUGAUCAUUGAGAACUCAGUACCACACCAUACUCGUGUAUACUAUAAUAUUUAUCAUUGUUUAUGAUUAUUACGUGUCUUCGCCGAUAAAUUUAAUAUUCAUUCCUUUAAUUUUUUUCUAUUGACAUUGGAAACUGUCUUGAUUCUUUUUUGGCCAUAUCAUAUAUUUAAAAAAUUGGGAGGGGAACGUGGAAGUUGAAUCUGAAAUAAGAAUCAAAUGAUACAUGUGUACUUUCAAAGAUAAAACGCAAAAUAUAUCAUUUUUUUGUAAAACAUAUAAAUUCUACUAUUUAUGAUUAUUUUAAAUUUAUAUAAUCUAUAUUUGUAUGUAUAUAUAUUCUCCAUUUGUUCAUGAAAAAGAGUCUCAUUGUAUGCUGAAUACGAGUUUUAAUAAAAUGGUUGUAAGUGUGAAAUAAAUGUAUAAUUUGUAAGAGUCUUUACAUUAGAUUAUAUUUUACUCUCUUCGUCCUAUUGAUAAUGACUCACUUUUCUUUUUCGUCUGUCUCAUUGAUAAUUGCAUGUUCCAAAAAAACUGAAACCAUUUGACCUCACAAAAUGUUGUGGGCUCCACUACUUUUUAUCACUUUUAUCCUUUAAUUACUAUUCUUAUUAAUAACCGUGUCGAACAGUAAUGAACUAUUAUCAAUGGGAGGGAGGGAGUAAUAUUUUAAUUUUGUUUGCUGCCACCACCACCACCACCACCACAAUUUAAAAAAAAAAAUCUACGUGAAUAUAGUAAUUAUUAGAACAAAAAAAUAACUAUAAUAAUAAUAUAUUAAUCCGUUAAUUAUCUAUACUAAUAUAAAAAGUGCAUUUGGCACAAAAUAUAUAUUGCCUGUUAUAUCCCUAUUAUAGUAUUUUAUUUGAAGGACAACUUUGUAAAUUAUAUAUUAUAUAUUUAUAAGAAUAUAUUAUUUCAUUAGAUAUUACACUAAAUAUAUUUGAUAUAUAUCUAGAUCUUAUGCUAUAAUUUUUUUUAUAUUAAUUAAUUAUUAUAUAUUGUGAUUUAAUAGAAUUAUACAACUCUAAUAAUUUAUAAAUGUAAAGUUCAGGGAUUGCAUGCAAUGCACACAUUCUAUGCUAGAAAAAAAAUAGAAUUCACUAAGCCGAUGAUAAAUAACACAUACAACGUACUAUUUCUGCUAGUAAAUUAAAAAUCUAUAUGAUUUUAUCUUCUAUCACUACAUUAAUUAAAAUCUAUCUUCCGUUUCAUAUUAACGGUGGUUUUUCAAUAUUUUUUAUAUUAAUUACUACAUAUUGUGAAUUUAUUACAAUUGUUAACCUCUAACAAUUCAUUAAUAUAAAGUUGAUGGAUUGUGUGUCAUGCACAAACUCUCCUGUACUCAUCUAAAAGACUCUAUAUGUGAGAAGAAACCGCAGGAGAGUAAAAUGGUACAUAACAUAGAAUAGAAAGACUUUCACAAAAUAAAUGUUACAUUCUUCCCGUAGUCGGAAGGAGCAUGAAAAUGCGCGGUUAUUCGCAAGAAAGAAAGGCUCACUCAGCCACACAAAACAUGGAAAUCCUAAACACGGUGAUGCAGAGAUCAAGCGGUAACACGCGGGAUGAUCUUAAUACCACCGAUGGUAACAUCGUCGCCAUUAAUGUGGGGAACGAUAGUGACGACAAUGAAAUCAUCAUCAGCAAUAUUAAUGUUCUCAUAGAGUUCCUUCAGGUUCAAGUGAAGGUCGUUGGAGCUUUCCGUGGCCCUAACCCUGUGCGGAAUCUGCGUGAAGCACCCGGCGUACUCGGCCCUAUCGAGCUUCUGUGGCGUGUCGUCUGCAUCAUUCACGAACACAUCGAACCUCACGAGCUUCAAGCUAUCGCAGAUUAUGUCCUCCAGCACCAGCACUUCGUCGGCUUUGCCUUUGGUUGGUUUGGGCACCACAACCCUAUGAGGCUUAUUGAGAGUGAGAGGGAACACAUUGUCUCCGGUCUCCGCCGUCUUGGCGAGAUCUUCGGUAUUGACCGGUUCCGGCCGCUGAGGUGGCCGGCAGGUCAUCCAUGGUGUAUGGCUAUAUUCAUACUCGUAUCCCAUUUUUGUGUGGUCCAAGCAGUCGGCGACCUUAACGCGCACCAGCUUCCUCUUCUCGUUGUAGAACAUGAAGGAGGCGUUGUUGAAGUCGUCGGGGUUGGGGACGACGAGCUCGUUGAUAUCCUUCGGGAAAACGGAUGGGAUCGUUUUCCAUAUAGUCCACAUUCUGUCGACGUUAGCGUGAUGUGCGUAGAAGAGAGGGUCUCUUCCGGCGGAGUAGAAGUUCCCCAUGUCUUCGCGGAAAUUGUUGGCGGGGUUUCCGGUCCAGACAGCCGCCCUCCGACAAUCCUCCCUUGGAGCGUGGCGGGGGCAAGUCUCCGUCAACGUAAGGCUCGCCCAUGAAGUUGGUAGCGGAUUCGACAUCACCAACCAUUUCCUUGUACAGCUGAUUGAGGUUGUUGGAGAUGAUCUGUACGGGAUCGGUGAUCGGGGGGUUGGUUAGGGCAAGAGAAACGAUGGCCGGGGGCCGAUGCGUCGGGUCGCGGUUGACGUCGUAGAGUGGCGACGCGUCCCUGUCGAACAUCGAGGGCAUCUGCAUGCCCCUAGGGUUGUCCCAGUUCCAGUAGGGCAGGGCGAAAUCGAGAUCUCCGAUGAAUUCGCCCAUGAUUCUCUCGAAGAAAUAGAGGUACCACCUGUGUAGGGAUGAAUCCAGAAUUUGUCGUUAGGGGGGCUAAAUCUAAAAGUAUUUGCAGUGGGGGCUCCCGUCCGCAAGACAAUUUUUUUUAACCAUUCCGUAUAGAUUUAAUUGGCUUAACAUUAGAAAUCAGUCACUUACUAUAAAAAAUAGUUGUUCGCAUUCCAUUAAUUCAACAACAAGUACAUUUAAAGCAUAUACAAACCUACCUCUGUGCAAUUUUUUAAAAUAUUAUUUCGACUUCUAAAAGAAUAAACUAAUUUUCAUUGUUAAUUAAUAGUUCAAAAUUUUAGUUUAUCUUGAAGAUUAACUCAAAUUAAAUAUUCAAUAUUACCUAAUUAAACAAAAAUGAGACAAAAAUAACACAAAUUUUUAACAAACUAACCUAGCAAAUCACUGUAAAAUGUUAAGCAAUUCUUUCUUGUAUUUCUUCUAUAUAUUAAAAACAAAAAAAUUAGGGAGGGGGCUUCAGCCCCCGUGGAUCCGCCACUAACCUGUGGAAGGGGAAGAAGAUCCAUGAGUUGUGAACCUGGAUAUCGAUGCCGGGGUGGUCCACCUGGUCGUAGGGGCCGUUGCAGUAAGCGCAGUGGACGUUGGCCUGCUGAGUGAAGCCGCGGGGAUCGUUGGGGUCCGUCACGUCCAGAUCCUUCAUCAUCUGGAUGGCUUUCUCGUACUUGGCUAUGUAUUCCGGUGUCAGCCUGUGCGCCGCCGGCCUCCUGCGAAGCUUUGUGAACGUCGGAAGCGUGUACUCUUCCUCGUCGUCCGUGUAGGGCGGGCAGCAGUUGGCGUCUAGAGAUAUUAUCUCCCCGUUUCUAGAAGUAUAGGCACCUUUGGGAUCACACUUGCUCAGGUCAGGAGGUGAAAUCGGAACCGCCUCAGCUUUGCGGAUGAGGCCGCUUGCGCCGUAUAGACCACCCAGACCAAGCAGCAUGUUUCUGCGGUCUACACGGCCGCCGCCGCCUCCAUCACUGCUGCACGACACCUCAAAGCGGCGCCUCCGCCUGCUGGCGAGCUGGGAGGUGGUGCGGAGGUUGGGGUUGGUCGUGGUCGCCAUCACCAUGAAUGAAGAUUGAAGGGAAGCCAUGCUUGAUUGAUUGAUGCUUGCAUUGCGCUCGAGGCAUGCAUGUCUAUAUAUAGUAGGCGUGGACACGAGUUUUAAGAAAAAUAAUGAUACUUAAUGGGAUUAUUUUCGAAAAUGAAUUAGGAAGAUGUUUUGGAGACGAAAAUAGAAAAUUGACCUUUUGCCAGGCUGCCCUUUCACUAAAUGGUUGUAUGCACUUAUCUUUUUUUUAUCUAUAAAGAGGUAUUUUCUCCAUUUAAAAAACUUAUCGAGGUAAUUAUGAAGACUAUUCAUUUUUAUCGUUGUAAAGUUAAUUAAAUUAUAAAAAUUAAAGUUGAUAAAGUUCUUAUUAAACAUCAUCGCUCUUCUGUCUUUGGACGACAAAAUUAAUUAUUUCAAAUAGAUAAAGAACUUGAUUUUCCGAUAUGGCUUCUCAUACUAAUUAAAUAAUCUAAUCCUAUAAUGUAUUUCAUAUAAAGUUAUCAAAUUAACAAUAUUCUGUGUGAAUUUUUUUGCCUUGAGUGUGUGUAUAGAGGUAGUCAGGGCCGGCCCUGAGGGUGGGCGGGCAUGGGCGACGGCCCAGGGCCCCAAAAAUUUGAGGGCCCAAAAUUUUUAAUAUAUCCUAUUAAUUAUAGAUCUUAUGUAUACUAACAACAUAGUUCAUCUAUUGAUUUUGGGCCCAACAUAAUUUAUUCUCAAAUUUAGAUCUAUACUUAAUAUAGAGAGUUUUCAAUUUGAAAUCAAUUUCAAAGUAAUUUCAAAAUUGAGUGACUAUUUUGUAGUUAUAAUAUUAAUAAAAUUGAAGGUUUAUGUUUAAACUAUAUAUUUUUAUUUUUAUUUUUAUUUUCAUUUUCAUUUUCUUUAACUUCUUAUUUGUUGUUACAUUUCUUUCCAAAAUUGUGAAAUUCAAUUAAUUAUAAAAUAUUUAAUAUGCAUAUCAAAUUAAAGAUCACAAUAAGAGUUUUAAUAUGAUAUAUUUUAUGAAAAAUAUUUGAUUUAAAAUGUAAAAUUUAUGCAUGUUCAAAUAUUAAAGUUUUAUAAAUUUCUCUCACCUCUCUCAUCUUUACGAAUAAAUAUAUUUUUAAUUCUUUUAAAUUAGUAUUUUAUUUUUAAUUUUUUUAACUUAUUUUUUUGUUUUUGUAUUUCAUAAUAUCAAAUUUUAUAAUUGUGAAUUCUUUUUUUAUUUUUUUUAAUAUUCAAUUCAAAUAUAUAUAAUUAAAAUUAAUUUUUUAUUAUAUUUAUAAGUAUAAUAAUUAAAUUAGUAUUAAUUUUAUAUAAAUAGUAAAAACAAAAAAUAUUUCCCGUGCAUGAGAUGCAAAUGGUAGUUGCACCUCGCCGCCGGUAAUAUAUUUAAGUAUAUAAAUUAAUUAAUAUUAACAAGGCGCCCGGUGAUCACCGGAGGCAUCCUUGCCGCUGGUAUUUCUGCCGCUACUUUGAAAAAUACGGCCGUCGGUAAAUCUGGCCGCAAAUUGUGUACGUUUUUUGGUAGUGGUAAUAUAUUAGGGCCCAAUUUUUUAAUUUCGCCCAGGGCCUCAGUUUUGUCAGGACCGGCCCUGGAGGUAGUUAUAGAAUUUAUCUUUUGUGUUCUCAAAGGAACUUAAUUAAGAUCCAAUGUGAUUGAUACAUUUCGACUAAAUGGAUGGGCAAGAUUCUUUUAACGCCCAAUAUUAAUUCCAUCUCAAAUCGGAUCUUAUAUAAUACUGUAUUUUAUAUAUUCUAUAAUGCAUUUUAUAUAUUACGUGUCUAUUAAAUUAACAUUGAUCUUAGGAGUGAUACAAGUUUAAAAAAAAGCUAGCUGUAUAUUUGGUGAGUAGAGAAGGGAUUUCAGAAAUUAGAAAAAAUGGUGAUAGGUAGUGGAAUUAUUUUAAAAAAUGGACUAAAAAGAUGUUUCAUGAACGAACGAAAAUGGCAAAAUAGGAAGAUGAGUCGUGGUCGGAGGAAAUAUUAUAAUGCAUCGUAUCCUUUUUUGGUUCGUAUAAAGAUUUUUAUUUGAUCCUCAUCGAGAACAUGCAUAUUGCGAAUACUUAAUUUAUUUCAAUAUAUAUAUAUUAAUUUAUUGGGAGCAUAUGCUAAAUAAAUUAAAUUAAUCCGAAUCAAAAGCGCUUAAUUAUCACUACAUUACAUGCAUUAUGACAAAAAGCCUGCGGCUAAAGAUCUUCAGUUUAAGUCUAUUGUCAUAUUGUUUUUAAAAUAUUAUUUAUCCAUUCCGCAUAUGGAUUGGUCAGAUUUAGAUACACAAAUCUCAAAUGUAUUUAAUUAACAAAUUGAUUGAUAAAUUUUAGAAUUCAAAAAUUAAAUCAAUCAAAUACGCGUGUCCACAGUCAAUGGAUUGAAAAUAUGCAGGUAUCUAGAUAAGAUAUAUUAUUAUUAUUAUUACACUGUUAACUAUACUGCAGUACACUUUUAUAUAUACAGACAUAAUUAAAAUAUGCAGGUAUCUAGAUAAUAAGAUUAUUAUUACACUAUUAACUAUACUGCAGUACACUUUUAUAUAGAGAUAAUUACUAGAGAUAUGUGCUAUUACCCAUACUUCGCUCGAGACAGAAAUAAAUACGAUUGACCAUUCAAUUAAACACUACGACACCAUACUCGUGCAUGUACUAACGAUCUUAUUAUAAGUGCACCUUCCCGUGCGAUGCACAGGUCAGUAGAAUUGUAAUCGAUAUUGAUGUGAAUAUCAUCAUAUUCGAUUCGUAUUUGUGAAAAUACUCUAAUAUUUGAUUCAGCAUUCGAUUCGAUCACGAAUACUAAAUACGAUCCCAUAUUCGAUUCGAUGUUAUUUUUGAAUUAUUUGAUACAUUUUUUAAAAUUAAUUAAAUAAUUUUUUUACGAAUAUUCGAUUCGUUUUCCAUCAUAUUCAAUUCAAAACUAUUCGAUUUGAAAUUCUGAAGGAAAAAAUAUGUUAAAUAAUAUUCUAAAAAAUAUAGGAUUAUAUCCAAUAUAUUUACCUAAUAAUUAAACACACAAUAAUAAAGUGUUCAAUUCAUAUUGUUUUAUGUCCCGUGGUUUGUUUCUAGGAUUGUGGUAAUAAAGACUGAUUGGAUCAGUCUAGUACAGUUGUUGUUUGAAUUUGUAAUUUUGUGUAACGGCAUUGUCAUCUUGUUGAGAUUAAUAGGAGUUAAUUUGUUUAAUUAAUUAUUCAUGAGUUUCUUAUAAGAUACCUUCCUUCGUUCCGUAAAAAUAGUCAUAAUUUUUCAUUUUAGAACGUCCAUAAAAAAAUAGUGUUAUUCCAUUUAUAAACAAUUUAGAUCCUUACCUUUGGGAUGAGAUAAAAUGAAAUUCCAUUUUAAAUCAUAAACUAGCUAUAUAGGAAGCAUUUUCAGCUCUUGAAUUCAUCUGUUGUUCGAAUUUCAUAGGAAGCAAGUUUUUUUGACUCAUUAUUUUCACAGCGAAUUCAUCAUGUUACACAUACCCUAAAGUGAUAUAUUUACCCUAUUUGAUAACAUGAUAAGUAUAUUUGAAGCGCUCACUAUUUUAUUUGAACUUUAUUAUCGAGUUUAAACGAGUUUUGAAAUAUUGAAUUAAAUUGAAAUAUCCAUGUUGAUCGUUUAAGAAGCAAAUUUUUGGCAUGGGUUUAUAAAAAAUACAUCCUAGCCUCCAUCCCUAAUAAGUGCGGUGUGAAGGAGUGGGCAAUAGUUCUUUAAAAAUAAUUGAGAGAUGUGUAUAAAGUGGAUAAAAUGGCUUACUAGAGCUGAUUUGUUAGGCCUUACUUUCUCUCUGCCCCACUAAAAUAAGCUCAAUUCUUUUGAGAACAUAGAUUAAUAAACUUUCUUUUGAGAAGAAAAUUAAAGUGGUGGCAAAAGUAAUGUGGUCCAUACCAAUUAAGCAAUUUGAGUACAUUUUUUUUUUCACUCAAAAGGAAAACGAGCCUAUUCUAGCGGGACAUUCCAAAAUAGAAAACGAGCAUAUUCUGCUGGGACGAGGGAAUAAUAAAUUGUUUGUGAGAUGAGUAGUUUGUAAAUAUUGUGUGUGAAAGGUGUAUGUCUUAAAUUGAAAAGACCAUACCUGUAUUGUGAUUGUACGGAAAGGUGGAACUGAGCAUCGCGGCGGCGGCGAGGCAGGAGGCGGCGGUGGUGAGGAGAAUCGAGAGAGAGAGAGAAAGAUGCCAGCAGACAGUGACGGAGGGCAGUGGGCGGCCCUUGGCGGCAGCGGAGACGACAAGGUACUGGCUGUGCCAGAAUUAUUUAGUUGCAUAGGAUCCUUCCAAAUGUAAUUACUGAUUCACUGUUGGAUUAACAAGAAUUAAAUUACUUCAUAAUACAGUAUUCCAACUGUUCGAUAAAAGCCCUUAAUGAAAUCUUCCAUAGAUUACUUUGCAAAGUUCAUAAAAUUACUCAAAAGCAUUGUUGCAUAGUCCGUACAUAGAGAUGGUCGAUUAUCUUAAUUAUGUCUAGAUUUAUUUACGACACACACACACACACAUCACAAAAUCACACAUACUGACUAAUAAGGUUCCCGAAAGCCGGCAUUAUUAGGCGCCAUGGUGGCCGUGAAAUACCAUGAGACGAUAUCAUGGGUGGUGGGUCCGUCUAGUCUGGUGGCGGCGGAGAGCCCUACCUGAACCUGCUAAGGAAGAAAGCCGCUCAAAUCAUACUCAUAGCUGACUUCAAACGUCUUCGAGCCGGCGGUGGCACGGACGGCGAUCUACUUUGUGGAGGCGGCGUAGUUGAUCCUCGCCGUCACCUGCUGCUCGAGUAUGGAGCCGUCGACCUCCGUCGUGUUUCGGGAUGACCUAGACCCGAUGUCGAUGCCGAUGUGGGGAUAGUUCGGAUCCCACGCGCUGUUGACGUAGGUGUCGAACUCGACGGCAAAUACCGAGGGGUUGCUGCCGGAGGAGCCGAAGAUUCCGAGGUUGGCCCCGCUGGAGCCGGUGGGGAUGGUGGAGCGGCGAGAUUGGUGAUGCUGGGUGUGGUGAUGAAGUUUACGGUGGUUUCAAAGUCGACUUGGCCACCGGCUUGGGAGAAUUGGACCGGGUUCGUGUACAAGACCCGGCCGACACUACCGAUCUGCGGUCGCCUUGGUAGGUGAGGUCGGUCGGCUGGUUGUCCCAGAAGUUAUAGGCGAAGGCCGUUGAUCGGGACUUCGCCCUGUUGGUGGCGACGGCGAGAAGAAGGGCGAUGGAGAUUAGGGUUUGGAGAAGGUUGGCCAUGGCUUAGUUGUGCAGUGAAUGAUGUCUACUACUUGCUCCUAUUUAUAAUGAUCGAAAAUAUCUACUACUUACCUACCACAGAUCCACAUCAGGGGCCCUGGAUGGGGUGGUCGACUACAUAAGCCCAAAAAAAUAAGGGCUCGGAAAAUAUAUAGAUCCAUGUAAGUAUUAUAUAUAUGUAUAAAAUAAUUAAAAGCCAACUAAUGAUUGAAUUGAUUAACUUGGCGCAGUGGAAAAAGGACAUUUUUAAUUCCUCUUAAUUACCAAUAUUUUAUUUAGUGACCAAUUUUUUUGUUUAGAUAUAGGGCCCAGCCCCUAUUUUGAUAAAUUAAGUGUAUGUAUUUCAAAUUAACAUUAUUUUAAGUUGUCGAAUUUUUUUGUUAAGAUUUAGGGUCCAGCCCCUAUUUUGUUAAAUUAACUUUAUUUUAAGUGAAUGACAUAAUUAUUAAUAUAUUUAUUAAUUAUUAUGUAAUUUGAUAAAAAAAUGUUUUAAAUAAUUUUAGUUUAUAAUUAAUUUAUUUCUCAAUUAUAAAUAAAUGGCCUAAAUUAAAAAAUUCGCAAAGGGCCUAUGUUCUCUUAGCCCUACCCUUGCACUGUUGCACAUGGUAUAUAUAUCUAUUCUAUGAAUAUAAGUGAUUAUUUUAUAAACCACGUGAAAGCACUUGUUCCCACUAGCACUAUAAAAGCAAUAAAUACAACGGAAAGAAAAUAAAUUACAAUUGAAUACAUUAGGAGAAAAAUUACUUCUAACCUAUGGAAUUACUAACAACGAUACUUAUACCAAAGCUAAAUUGGACCAACUAACUGUACACUCUUGUAUUAUAUCAACCUACCAGACCUUAGUAUUCACGAGUCUCCCACAGUCUAGACUGAUUCACAAUAUAUACCAACAUUGGAACAAGUUCAGUAAUACACUCUAUUUAUAUAUAUUAUUAUAUACACAAAAAUGCAUGGCUGCUGUGGUAUUACGGAAGGAUCGAGAAUUACUCGAUCCUUGGGAAAAGGUUCAAAUGAAACCUUUAUUAUUACUCUCCGUCCCCCAAAUAAUAUCAUAUCCGAUUUGGGAUAUUACCCCACCACUAAUAAUACUUUAUUUAUUCUAACUUCUCAAUCUUUCACCAUUCUCAAUACUAAUUAUAACACAUUUUCAUCACUUUCAAUACUAAUUAUAAUUUCUUUUCUCCACUGCUAAUACGUACACUUAACAAUUUUUCCUUAAAACCAGUGUCGUCCCCUACUAAGAAGUUAUUUGGGGGACGUAGGGAGUAUUUUUUAAUGAUAUGGCAUCCAAAUAUGUUGUGACAAUCCAGUGAGCAAUAUCAACUUUUUGGAGCUGAAAACCGAUGUGAGGUACAACUAAUACACAAUAUGUUGUGGCAAUCCAGUAAUAUACCCUAAGGAUGCGUCAUCUUUUGUUGUAAAUUUAUCAUGGAAAAAUGAGGGAUAAACAAAAUUUCACCCAUUAAAUCCUUCAUUUUUUCCCUCAUUUCUUACAAAAUAGAAUUUGACCCUUACUCAUUUCUCAUUUUCACUGCAAAGGGGGGCUAAUAUUAUCUCUCUAUUUUUGGUAUAAUGAAGAAUUUGAUACGUAAUUACAAUUAAUUAUAAUGAAGUGUGUAUUUUAGUUGCUCAUAUUCUUGGAUUAUUUAUGCUUUAAUGAAACGAUCCACUGCCUUUAACAUUUUGGCAUUUUAAAGUAAACGCCGAAAUGCAACGAUCCACUGCCUUUUAAGUAAACACCCUUGCUAACCCCUGCAUGCGUUUUUUCAUCAAACACUUGGGUUCAUUCUUUUAGGCAUUUUAUCAAACAGUUGUGCUCAGCCUCAUCCUUUUGAUCACAUUCCCAUAUCUCUCCUUAUAUGAAACCGCAUUUUCUAUUUCUCAUAUAUUUCCUAUAUAAUAUUUCCAUCAUUUCUAGCUCAACAAUAAUUCUUCUAGCAAAAUUAUCAUUUCAAAUGCACUCUUUUCCUUUUCUACUUUCUCUUCUGCAUAACAGAAAUACUAAUCCACCAUAAAAUAAUCAUAACUUUUUCUUAAUGAUACGAUGAGGGCACAAAGUUGAGAUGAUAAAAUCAUACAUAUUGGCGAAUGUUGCCGCCGGCUUCCUCUGACUUUUGGAUGCUGAGGGGAGGGGUGGCGGUGAAAUACCAGGAGUUGAUGAUGAAUUUGAUGGUUGUUUCCAUGUCCACCUGCCGCAGAGACCGAGAUACGAUUUUAGAAACAAACGGCAAAAUUACAAUUUCACAUAUAAAAAAUAAAAGACAAUUAAUAAAGCGCAUAAUAUUGGUAAGAUGCUUCCAACCAAUAGGUCGGGAUUGUAUAUCGUGUGAGUGUGUUUUUCAUUUUUUAGUAAUAACAUGUCGUGCUCGGGGCUUUUUUCCGUAUCUGCCCCUGCUUCCCGUCGUCGUGCCCGACUCGUCGGUUUUUGUCAUGCGGAGGUAGGUGGUGGCGUCGGUGAAGUUGGCGUCGCCUUCCAAGCGUAGGCCUUCCGAAUGUGGCGGCUUUUGGUAGAAGUCGUAGGUGAAGGAGACUGCAUCGCCGACCGACACGGUGGCGAGGAGGAGGGCGAUGGAGGAGAGGAGAGGAAUUAAGGUUUGGAGAAGGUUGGCCAAUUUGAUUAAAUGUAUUUGGAUGUAGUGGAUGAUGGUGUAUCGAUCUCUUGCUCCUAUUUAUAGUUGUAAAUAUAUAUUAAUAAUGGUAUCAUUCAAUCAUUAUACUUUAGGCCGGCCGGGCCGGAUCCUCUAUUCCAAAUUCUAUGUCUCAUUGUUCAUAUUCACUAUUAAUUUCACUAUUUCAAUAAUUAAAAAAAUUCAUAGAGUUUGGGGCAGAGGAUCCCGUUUGAAUCCCACAUGGAUCCUCUGUCCCAUAACUUAUUGUGUUCCUUCCCAUUAUUAAUCUCGAUAUUAUAUUUCUACUUUGGAGUUAAUUCAUUAUAAACCCAUGAAAGAUCAGACGAAAUUCAUCCAAUAAACAUUUAUAAAUUUAUAUUUAAAUUUUGUUUCGCGGGUAUCUGAUAGAUAAUAGGUAUUCGUGGGUGGCGAAUUUGGGUAGCAUUUGAUAUUCAUAGAUAGUUUCAUGAUUAAAAUCCAAUAUUCAUUUAGUUCACGGGUAUGGUAUGACAGCCACUAUCUGUGUACGUCAUACCUGAUUGCCAGUAUGACAAAUAUAAAAGUUGUGAGAUGCACAGCAGCUUAAUUAUUCAAAUAGAAAUAUCAUCACAUGUGCAUUGAUAUUUCACAAAAUAAAUACUACUACUAAUAAAUACUCCCUCCGUCCACCAAAGAUAUGCCACUUUACUUUCGGUACGAGUUUUAAUAAAAUGUGAGUGAAGUUGGUAGUGGAGUAAGGGUCCCACUUUAAAUGUGAGUGGAAUGGUAUGGACCUUACUACUAAAAAUGGAUGUGGCAUAUUUUUCGUGGACGAACGAGAAAGAAAAUUGUGGCAUAUCUUUGGUGGACGGAGGGAGUAGUACUCAUUGAUAAUGCAUGCCAACACAUGGUUCUUGCAAGUCAUAUAUAUACCUCAUCAGCAAUAUAGUAAAAUGAUGAUUUGACAACCAGAUUAAGACACCAAUUAUUCUUGUCGGGACACAGACAUAUAUGCAUAUAGAAUUAAUAUUAUUUACUAUUUCGUUUAUACACGUGAAUUAUGCUUUGGAUGCAACAUCGCCACGUCUCUUUCAUUUAUACUUCUCUAGUGUAUUGCGGACAAAAUAGUUAGUGUCUUUAAGAAAUUAAAAAUUUUCAAAUACAUAAGAAAGAAUAAUUAAUCUAAUUGGUGCGCCGGCAACUAAAACUUUUUUCAAUUCACUUUAUAUUUUAUAUACUCCCUCCGUCCACGAUUUAAUGCCCCAUUUUAGUGUGGGCACGGAGACUAAGAAAACUGAAAAAGGUGAUGUGAAUGAAAUAUAAGGGUAGUUGACUAAAGUGAUAAAGAUGCUGUGAGUGGGUUCACUAGUGAUAAAGUAUAGGAAAUAUAGAAUAUAAAAAUGAUAAAGGUGUUUUAAGUUGGGUCCAUUAGUGGCAAAGAGUAAUAAAUAUAGAAAAAGAAGAGUAAAAAAGUACAAAAAGCAUAAUAGGGCUUUAAUUUGUGGACAAAAAAUUAAGAGCAAGUAGGGCUUUAAAUUGUGGACGGAGGGAGUAUUUAACAUUACAAGUCAAUUGCUUGCAGAAUUUGAGCUUGUCUCCCGUGAUGGAGACCUCACCAUGCGGCAACCCGUGCCUGCGCCUGCCUUUUUUCUUCCCGUCUUGCUCUAUCCAGAUAUUAUACGUGAUCCAACUCUUUCCAGAUAUUAUACGUAAAUGAUAAUUUUACUAACAAAAAUUACACUUUUUAUCAAUAACAAAUGAAACUAUGCAUACAAAACAGGAGGUAAAUGAUAUUUUUCUUAAUAACAACUGAUACUUUUUCAAUGCAAAUAAUACUUCGCAAAUGAUAUUUUAAUAUAAAAGUAAAUGAUACUUUGUAUAAAAAUAAAUGUUAUAUUACAAAUGACACUUUUAAUGCAUACCAAUGACACUUUUAAUAACAAAAAUUGAGAAAAAAAAAUUAGAAUUCGGCCUUAAUUAAAAUUUGGACAACAUUUAUUUGGGCAAAGAAGAAAAACACCUGAAUUUUUUUUUUUCCUUUUUUGAGAGAGAAAAACUCAUGAAAUUUCAUGCAAAAGGUAAUGCAUAGCCAACCGGGCUCAAUCAUCUUUCGGCGGUUUUGGUUUGAUUCUUCCAACAUCUAGGGUAGCAUUCACACAAAAUCAACUCGUGUUCAAAAAUCUGAAAUUAAAAUUAACGAUGUGUCUCAGUAUAGAGAUAAGAACAUACCCCUCAAAUGGUUCGAGCCAAGGUCUAAUUCCUUCAGCAGUGUGAUAUUCCAAAUUUGAGUAGGCAUAUAUCCGCCAAAGUUGUUGUCUGACAAGCGAAUACUCUCAAGUUGUGGACAUUGGUACAAACUCGAUGGUAUAUCUCCUUCCAAAUUGUUAAAGGAUAGGUUCACUAGUUUAAGUCUUUGAAGGUUAUUGUACGUGCNUAGACAACAAGAAAUAUCUAUUGUCUAUUCUAUGACAAAAAAAUUAAAAAAUUCUAAUAUAUCUGCAUCCCUGUAUUACAAUACCAAUAUAUAUGAAAAAAUAAAAAUAAUUAAAAAUCAAAUAAUCAAACAAUACUUAUAAACCACUAAUACUCACAAUCAAAUAUUUACACAUCAGUGUAAAUAUUGGGUUCGAGUCCUCUGCGUGUGUUGAUCAAGCGGUAAGGGGUUAAUGCCUAAGGUCAAAGGUCUGGGAUUCGAGUCCCCUGUGGUGUAGCCUUUUAAUUUCGUUAUUUAAUAUUGUAAAUUUAUAAAAAAAAAAAAGUAUAUUUACACAUCAACAAUUGUAUUAUCUUUAAUACGCCUUCAUUCAUCUAAUAAAAAAAAUCUCUAAUAAAAUCUCCAACUAACUCCGGUCAUGAUCAUCUCUUGAAGGCGGAGGAAGGUGGAGUCCGUCGGGAAAUGGGUACUGCCUUGAUAGAUGAGAUCUUUCGGCUGGUCGCCCCAGAAGUCGUAGGUGAAGGACGUCGUUUGGGACAACGCCGUGUUGGAAACGGAGAGGAGGAGGACGAUGGAGGAGAGGAGAGGAGUUAAGGUUUGAAGAAGCUGGUUGGCCAUGGCUUAAUUGAUUUAGAUUUAGAGAUGUGGUGGAUGAUGGUGGUAUCGAUCUCUUGCACCUAUUUAUACUAGUAUGGUUCAUGCCUGUUAAUAAUUGUAUAUAUCAAUCAUCGUGCAUCUAUCCCAAAUUAUAUGUCUUAUUAUUCACUAAUUAGAUGGAUUAAAUCCUGAUUAGUAACCAUAAAAUUAAACUGUCAAUGAGGCCUUGCUCUAGUGGCAAAGCUGUGACACCGAAUAACUUUUCUUUGUGAAAUGUCUUGGGUUCAAUCUCGCCUGCAUGCGGUGAUGUGUGUCCAUUUUAGGUGGUGUGGUAUUCUUGUCUGCGUGCGGUGUUGUAUUGUUUAGUGUUGAGGUCCCACAUGCAGAGCGUUCUUGCCUGUGUACGUGUCACAGCCCAAAACCAUUUAUUUUCUUUACAAAUUUUAUAUAUGAAAAUUAUUUAAUUUUUAAGUUAUAGAGUUUUUGAAAUAUAUAUAGUAUCAAUUUUAUGUUAACUUAGUCGUGUCCCUAAUUAAAAGAAUGACUUUAAAAUAAAACUUAAGCCUUAAAAAUUUAAUCUACAUUCAUAUAUAACUGAAAUUACAUGCAUGUCUAAAUAUUAUUUAUAAUUAUCAAUAACAAGAUUAAUGAUUCUAUAUCUCUAUGUUUAUACAUGUAUUCACGUAUGACAUAGUAUAUAUUAGCUAUUAAGUUAAAAACUAAUAAAAUACUACACUUUUGCAUAGGAUAUAUAUUUAAUUAGUAGUAGGAUAGGACACGUGUAUUAAUUUUAAGGGCAAGUAAUCAAACUUUUGAAUGAUUCAUCAUGCUUAAAAAAAAAAGAGACCUAGAUAGAUGAUUCAUCAGAUUCAAAAACAAGUAUAAAUAGACUUCGGGUUUGAAAUUUUAAUUAAUUUGCAACAACAAUUCAAACUGACUGUAUUAAGGUAAGUAGUUACAGAUUUCAUACACAUAUUAUAUGAUUUCGCACACAUAUUAAGGUAAGUAUAUAUAAAUAUUUUUUAAAAUCAUAUAUUAUAUAAUAAUUAUAUUUAAGUUUUAUAUUAUUCUUUAUAAACUAUUGUUUCAUUCUAUAUAAUUAGGUGUGGCACGACUAGGACGUAACUUUCUAUUGAAUUUCUCAAGUUAAUCUUAGAGUUCAAGUUUCAGGUGUGAGAUUUAUUUAAAUACAUGUCGUACGUGGUUAUUUAUUGUCCAUUUUAAUAAGAUGUGUUUACCAUAUGUGUUAUGACGCAUAUUUUUAGGAUAUCACUAGGUGCCCAUAAAUAGGAUCCAGGACUUCACCGUCCUUGGAUUGCCACAAUGCGAUUUGAGGUUUAUUUUGAGGAUGUCGUUAGGGGCCCGUACAUAGGGUCCAGGACUUUAAUAGUCAUUGGGUUGCCAUAGUGCAAAUAUUGAGGAUAUAUAUGAAGUGACCGUAUGUGUUACCGUUUCAUUAACGUGGACAAUGAUUGCAUGUUUAAGAGACAAUAACCAAUUUUUCAGACAUUUGUGAACAAAAUGAAGCAUGUUUAGAGAUCCUUAAUACAGGUGUACGAAAUGAUGGAUAAAUAAGUUUGUGAAACAAAUUUCACCAUACCUAACCCCACAAUUAUUUGCGGUCGAAUUUCCUCGUCACAGGAAAAAGAGAUGAUGACAAAAGGGAAAAAAUUAAUUAACAAAGUAGAAGAUGCAUGACAACUGUAAAAGAAAAAUAAUGCUACUAAUUAAAUAGUCCAAACUUCAUACGUUUCAUAUCAUAAGUGGCAGUUCUAUUUUUUUUUUUGCGAAUGUGAACAAAAUAACGAAUAAUUUUUAAAGUAAUAGUAAUAAGGAGAUGUGUUUUGACAGAAAACGACAUGAGCGGCCUAAAAAUAAGAGGGAAAAAGAUAAUCAUAUAAAUAUUCAAAAUCAAACGGAUUGGCAUGUAUUCAUCAUUUUUUAUUUUUUAUUUUGAUAAUUUAACAGUACUCCCUCCGUCCGUCAAAAGUAGACCACUUUGGUUGGGCACGGGAUUUAAUAAAAUUAGUGAUGAUUUUGAUGUAGUAGAGAAAGAGUUCCACCACUUUAUGAGAUGUGUGGUUGAGAUUGAAUUUGUUGUGAUUUUUUUGUAAAUAAAGAGUGUUUGUAAGGAUAAAAGAUUAAAGUGGGUGGUGGGACCAUUUCCAUAAAAGGAAAGUGGUCUACUAUUUGCGGACGCCCAAUAUAGUAAAAGUAGUCUACUUUUGGCGGACGGGGAGAGUAUUAAAUAAAUAAAUUUAAAGGUUGCACCCCUUACUGCUUGGCUUUUAGAUUAUGUUAUAAUAAUAAAAUUAACAGCACGUUUACAAUAUAAAAUUAAUUAUGAUAAAUACAAUAUAUUAAUAAUAAAUACUCAAUUACCUCUUAACAUAAUUCGCGCAUCAUGGCUUUUAGCUUAUAUUAUAAAGAUAUAAUAUGUUGUCUAUAAUAAUCGACGGAAGGUAAUAGACAACAUGUUUUAUAUGUUGUCUAUAAUAAUAUAGACAGUAGAUCUAGUGUUAUAGAUAACAAUUAAUACUUGUUGUCUAUAUGAUGAUAGACACCAAAAAUCUCUGUUGUCUAUUCUAUGACAAAAAAAUUUAAAAAAAUUCUAAUAUAUUUACAUCCCUGUAUUACAAUACCAAUAUAUAUGAAAAAAUAAAAAUAAUUAAAAAUCAAAUAAUCAAACAAUACUUAUAAACCACUAAUACUCACAAUCAAAUAUUUACACAUCAACAACUGUAUUAUCUUUAAUUACGCCUUCAUUUAUCUAUUAAAAAAAAUCUCUAAUAAAAUCUCUAACUAACUCCGGUCAUCAUCUCUUGAAGGCUUAGAAAAUGUCCAAAUACAGCGGCACAUGCUCAUUAUUGUGUGAGCGAUGAGAACUUUGCGCUGAACCUAUAAAGUAACUAUACUUAACUGGUAAAGUAAUUGUAUCCCGUGAAUCUAAAGGAAGACUACACACGUUGAUAGAGUUUGAAAGAAAAGAAUAAAGAGAAUGAAAAUCCAAAGAAUUUGCUUCUUCCGUUGAACAAUCCCUACACAACAUUGAAAUAUCAAUGAAAAUAAUGGCUAUCGUAUACUCCCUCCAUCCAUGAAAGAACUUCAUAGGAGGGAGUGACACGGGUUUUAAGAAAAAAUAUUGUUAAGUGUAUUGAGAGUGGAUAAAAGGUAGUUGAGUGUAUUGGGAGUGGUGAAAAUGUGUUAUAGUUAAUAUUGAGAGUUGUGAAAAGUGAAAAGUAAGAGGAUUAUAAGUGGUGGGGUAUAGUCCAAAAAUAGGUAGGAAGUUCUUUUGUGGACGUCCCAAAAAGGAAAGAUAUGAAGUUCUUUCGUGGACGGAGGGAGUAUUAUUUUGCAGCAGCAACCACGUUUGAAAACUCGAUCCCUCUGUUCUUGAAUUUGUGAAAUUUCCGACUGAUUUAUUAGAUUCACCAUUUAUUUCAGUUUAAUUAGUCUAUAUAUAGAUAUUUCUUAUAUUAUUAAAUUGUUAACCUCAUGGUAGAUUUCAAGAUUUGAAAAUUCAACAAAGAGCUUGAGAAUUAUUGAGAUUGGAAGGGGAAGAUGAAACAUAAUUGGGUGAAAUUAGAAACCAAUUAAAGUCACAAGAUUGAACAAAAACAUAACUUAAAAACACAAAAUAAGCAAAUCGUAGAUGCAGUAUCUUGCAAGAAAAAGUUCAUAUUCCCAAGGCUAUGAUGAGCACGAAUUAGGGUGUGUCUGCAUUUUAUCCCUCUAAAUAGAGGAAUAACAAAAUUUUAUUCUUUAAAUGUUUGCUUUCUUAUCACACAUUCUACACAAACACCAUUUUUUCUUCCUUAUUUUCACUUCAAGGAGGANUAAUAUUAUCCCUCCAAUUUUGGUGUGAUAAUAUUAUCUCUUCUUGAAGUGAAAAUAAGGAAGAAAAAAUGGUAUUUGUGUAGGAUGUGGGAUAAGAAAGCAAACAUUUAAAGGUAUAAAUUUUUGUUAUUCCUCAUUUAGAGGAAUAAAAAGCAAACACACAUUAGAGUCUACUUACAAUUUAGGCGCAGGCUGUGCGAGAAUUACUUAGUCGAAUAGGAUCCUAAGUAUUUAUAUUUCUCAUGUUCUUGUGUAUUUUUUUACUGAUUCACUAUUGGAUUAACAAGAAUUAUCUUACUUUAAAUUUCUUGCUUUAAAAAAAAAAAAGAAUUAUCUUACUUCAUGUAUGGUAUGCCAACUGUUCGAUAAAGGUCCUUUUAGAAAUCUUCUAUUGAUUACCUUGCGAAGACCACAAAACUAGACACACCCAAAAGCAUUCUUGCAUAGUUUAUACAUAGAGAUGGCCGAUUGAUGAUCGUCUUAUUUGUAGACUUAACGCGAGCAGACUCGAUCGCUUAGUCCUUAUUGAUUUACGACACACAUGCUCACACACACACAUACACACAUCACAAAAUCACACAAAUUGACGGAUAAUGUUGCCGUUCAGCUCCUUCCUGAACCUCACCGCGGCAUUUUUCUGCACCAUAGUGGCCGUGAAAUACCACGAGACGAUGUCAUGGACGGCGACGUGUUGUCCGGUGGCGGCGGAUAGCCCGACCUGAACCUGCUGAGGAACAAAGUCGCUCAAAUCGUACUCAUAGUUGACAUCAAAUGUCUGCGAGCCGGCGGUGACUUUCACGGAGAUCAUCCUUGUGGCUCCGACGUAGUUGAUCCGCGCAGUCACCUGCUGCCCGAGUAUGGAGUUGUCGACCUUCGUCGUGUUGCUGGAUGCCCUAGAGCCGAAGUCGAUGCCGAUGUGGGGAUAGAGCGGAUCCCACGCGCCGUUGACGUAGGUGUCGAUUUCGACGGCGAAGACCGAGGGGCUGUUGCCGUUGGAGCCAAAGAUUCCGAGGUUGGCUCCGUUGGAGCCAGGGGGGAUGGUGGAACCGACGGGGGCAAUGAAGAAGGCGAGGCCGUCGGCAGGCUCGUUGUCGGCGCCCGGGGUGAUGAUGAAGUUCACAGUGGUUUCGAAGUCGACCUGCCCACCGGACUGCGAGAAUUGGACCGGGUUCGAGUGCAAGACGCGGCCGACUUGUGAGGGCUGUGCGUCUGUGAGGCGGAGGAAGGUGGAGUCCGUCGGGAAAUGGGCGCUGCCUUGAUAGAUGAGAUCUUUCGGCUGGUCGCCCCAGAAGUCGUAGGUGAAGGACGUCGUUUGGGACAACGCCGUGUUGGAAACGGCGAGGAGGAGGGCGAUGGAGGCGAGGAGAGGAGUUAAGGUUUGAACAAGCUGGUUGGCCAUGGCUUAAUUGAUUUAGAUUUAGAUUUAGAGAUGUGGUGGAUGAUGGUGGCCAGGUAUCGAUCUCUUGCACCUAUUUAUACUAGUAUGGUUCAUGCCUGUUAAUAAUUGUAUAUAUCAAUCAAUCAUCGUGCAUCUAUCCCAAAUUAUAUGUCUUAUUAUUCACUAAUUAGAUGGAAUAAAUCCUAAUUAGCAAUCUUAAAAUUACACCGCCAAUGAGGCCUUGCUCUAGUGGUAAAGCUGUGGCACCGAAUAACUUUUCUUUGUGAAAGGUCUUGGGUUCAAUCUCGCCUGCAUGCGGUGAUGUUUGUCCAUUUUAGAUGGUGUGGUAUUCUUGCCUGCGUGCGGUGUUGUAUUAUUUAGUCUUAGGCGUUCUUGCCUGUGUGCAUAUCACUGUGUGACAAUUAAAAGAAUGACUUUAAAAUAAAAGUUAAGCCUUAAAAAUUUAAUCUACAUUCAUAUAUAACUGAAAUUACAUGCAUGUCUAAUUUUUUUAAUAUCAUAACAAGAUAAGAUUUAUUAAAUAAUUCAGAUGCAUAAAUAAAAAGUUAAUCUAUAAACACAGUAUAGAUAUAUUAUCAAUGAUAGGCCGUGUAUAAGUCUUAAUCUGUAAAACUAUAUCAUCCCAGCCUUAAACGACUACCAUUCCUGCUUUCCCAGAGCAACCACACUGUUCCCACCCACAAAGCUUUAAGCAGUACAUGCAUGUCUAAAUAUUAUUUAUAAUUAUCAAUAACAAGAUUAAUGAUUCUAUAUCUCUAUGUUUAUACAUAUAUUCACGUAUGACAUAGUAUAUAUUAGCUAUUAAGUUAAAAACUAAUAAAAUACUACAGUUUUGCAUAGGAUAUAUAUUUAAUUAGUAGUAGGAUAGGACACGUGUAUUAAUUUUAAGGGCAAGUAAUCAAACUUUUGAAUGAUUCAUCAUGCUUAAAAAAAAAAAGAGACCUAGAUAGAUGAUUCAUCAGAUUCAAAAACAAGUAUAAAUAGACUUCGAGUUUGAAAUUUUAAUUAAUUUGCAACAACAAUUCAAACUGACUGUAUUAAGGUAAGUAGUUACAGAUUUCAUACACAUUAUAUGAUUUCGCGCACAUACGUAUGUAUAUAUAAAUAUUUUUUAAAAUCAUAUACUCCCUCCGUCCCCAAAAUAAGUUCCUCUUUGGGGACGGCACGGAUUUUAAGGAAAAGUGGUAAAGUGUAUUAAUAGUGGAGAAAAAUAUGUUAUAAUUAGUAUUGGAAGUUGUGAAAAGGUGAAAAAGUGUUAUAAUUAGUAUUGGGAGUGGUGAAAAAGUGAAAAGUAAGAAUAAAUAAAGUAUUAUUAGUGGUGGGGUAGUUGUCCAAAAAUGGAAAAAAAGAAAGAGGAACUUAUUUGGGGGACAUCCCAAAAUGGAAAAAGAGGAACUUAUUUCAGGGACGGAGGGAGUAUUAUAUAAUAAUUAUAUUUAAGUUUUAUAUUAUUCUUUAUAAACUAUUGUUCCAUUCUAUAUAAUUAGGUGUGGCACGACUAGGACGUAACUUUCGAUUGAAUUUCUCAAGUUAAUUUUCAAGUUCAAGUUUCAGGUGUGAGAUUUAUUUAAAUACAUGUCAUGAUUAUUCAUUGUCCAUUUUAAUAGUAUGUGUUUACCAUAUGUGUUAUGACGCAUAUUUUGAGGACAUCGCUAGGAGCCCAUAAAUAGGGUCCAGGACUUCACCGUCCUUGGAUUGCCACAAUGCGAUUUGAGGUUUAUUUUGAGGAUGUCGUCAGGGGCCCGUAAAUAGGGUCCAGGACUUUAAUAGUCAUUGGGUUGCCACAGUGCGAAUAUUGAAGAUAUAUAUGAAGUGACCGUAUGUGUUACCGUUUCAUUAACGUGGACAAUGAUUGCAUGUUUAAGAGACAAUAACCAAUUUUUCAGACAUUUGUGAACAAAAUGAAGCAUGUUUAGAGAUCCUUAAUAAAGGUGUACGAAAUGAUGGAUAAAUAAGUUUGUGAAACAAAUUUCACCAUACCUAACCCCACAAUUAUUUGCGGUCGAAUUUCCUCGUCACAGGAAAAAGAGAUGAUGACAAAAGGGCAAAAAUUAAUUAACAAAGUAGAAGAUGCAUGACAACUGUAAAAGAAAAAUAAUGCUACUAAUUAAAUAGUCCAAACUUCAUACGUUUCAUAUCAUAAGUGGCAGUUCUAUUUUUUUUUUGCGAAAGUGAACAAAAUAACGAAUAAUUUUUAAAGUAAUAGUAAUAAGGAGAUGUGUUUUGACAGAAAACGACAUGAGCGGCCUAAAAAUAAGAGGGAAAAAGAUAAUCAUAUAAAUAUGGGUUAAUUGCCUCUAAAUACACCACCUUUCCUUGAAUUCUACAAUUGCACAUCACCUUUAAAAUCCGCCCUUAAAUACACCACCUUUCCUUGAGUUCUACAAUUGCACAUCACCUUUAAAUCCGCCCCAAAAUACAUCAUCUUUAUAUUUUUUCUGUUUUUGCACAUGACUAAAAAAUUCUCAAGAAAUAAAUUAAAGUGUUAAUUUAUAAAUUUAAAUAUCUUUUUAGCAGCGAAAACAUAAUAAAAUAAAAUUCUUUAUAAAGUUUAAAAUCAUAUAUAUAUAUAUAUAUAUAUAAGUAUUUUCGUAAAGAAAUAAAUUCUCUAAUAAAUUUUUAGAAAGAACUUGAAUUAAAAAAAUAAACAAGUCAUGACAUUAAGAAAAUAAAAUGAAAUUUUUAUUUUAAUAAAUUUCACACGAAUUCGAUAUAAUUUGGAAUUUAGAGUUACAAUAAUCAGAAGUACCACAUGAAUAAUAUAAUGAGUUUGAAAGAAAUUUUUUUUAAAGAGGUUCGACACGCCCAUUCGACUUUCCACGCGCCUCCAAUGUCAUUUACCUGAAAUAUUAANUAUAUAAGUAUUUUUCGUAAAGAAAUAAAUUCUCUAAUAAAUUUUUAGAAAGAACUUGAUUAAAAAAUAAACAAGACAUGACAUUAAGAAAAUAAAAUGAAACUUUUAUUUUAAUAAAUUUCACACGAAUUCGAUAUAAUUUGGAAUUUAGAGUUACAAUAAUAAAAAGAACCACAUAAAUAAUAUAAUCAGUUUGAAAGAAAUAUAUAUAUAUUUUUUUAAAGAGGUUCGACGCGCCCAUUCGACUCUCCACGCGCUACCAAUGUCAUUACCUGAAAUACUAAAUAUGGGAUAAGCAUACAUAAUAUACUUAGUGUGGGAACAUGCAAUUAUUGUCCACGUUAAUAAAAUAGUAACACAUACGAUCAUAACAUUCAAAACGACACAAUUUUGCCAAUAUGGAAGCCACGUCAUUUAAAGUGGUAACACCCUAAUCUAACUAAAGUGUUAAAUAUAAAUUUAAAGCGGAAAUAUAAUAAAAUAAAGUUCUUUAUAAAAAUAAAUAAAGAAUUUUAUUUUAUUAUAUUUCCGCUGCUAAAAAAGAUAUUUAAAAUUUAUAAAUUAACACUUUAAUUUAUUUCUUGAGGAUUUUUAAGUCAUGUGCAAAAACAGAAAAAAAAUAUAAAGGUGAUGUAUUUUGGGGCGGAUUUAGAAUUCAAGGAAAUGUGGUGUAUUUAGGGGCGGAUUUUAAAGGUGAUGUGCAAUUGUAGAAUUCAAGGAAAGGUGGUGUAUUUAGGGGAAAUUAACCCUAUAAAUAUUCAAAAUCAAACGGAUUGGCAUGUAUUCAUCAUUUUUUAUUUUUUAUUUUGAUAAUUUAACAGUAUUAAAUAAAGAAAUUUAUAGGCUGCGUCCCUUACUGCUUGGCUUUUAGAUUAUGUUGUAAUAAUAAAAUUAAAAGCACGUUUACAAUAUAAAAUUAAUUAUGAUAAAUACAAUAUAUUAAUAAUAAAUACUCAAUUACCUCUUAACAUAAUUCGCGCAUCAUGGCUUUUAGCUUAUAUUAUAAAGAUAUAAUAUGUUGUCUAUAAUAAUCGACGGAAGGUAAUAGACAACAUGUUUUACUUCUUGUCUAUAAUAAUAUAGACAGUAGAUCUAGUGUUAUAGAUAACAAUUAAUACGUGUUGUCUAUAUGAUGAUAGACACCAAAAAUCUCUGUUGUCUAUUCUAUGACAAAAAAAUUUAAAAAAAUUCUAAUAUAUUUACAUCCCUGUAUUACAAUACCAAUAUAUAUGAAAAAAUAAAAAUAAUUAAAAAUCAAAUAAUCAAACAAUACUUAUAAACCACUAAUACUCACAAUCAAAUAUUUACACAUCAACAAUUGUAUUAUCUUUAAUUACGCCUUCAUUUAUCUACUAAAAAAAAUCUCUAAUAAAAUCUCUAACUAACUCCGGUCAUCAUCUCUUGAAGGCUUAGAAAAUGUCCAAAUACAGCGGCACAUGCUCAUUAUUGUGUGAGCGAUGAGAACUUUGCGCUGAACCUAUAAAGUAACUAUACUUAACUGGUAAAGUAAUUGUAUCCCGUGAAUCUAAAGGAAGAAUAAACACGUUGAUAGAGUUUGAAAGAAAAGAAUAAAGAGAAUGAAAAUCCAAAGAAUUUGCUUCUUCCGUUGAACAAUCCCUACACAACGUUGAAAUAUCAAUGAAAACAAUGGCUAUCCUAUACUCCCUCCAUCCAUGAAAGAACUUCCUAGGAGGGAGUGACACGGGUUUUAAGAAAAAAUAUUGUUAAGUGUAUUGAGAGUGGAUAAAAGGUAGUUGAGUGUAUUGGGAGUGGUGAAAAUGUGUUAUAGUUAAUAUUGAGAGUUGUGAAAAGUGAAAAGUAAGAGGAUUAUAAGUGGUGGGGUAUAGUCCAAAAAUAGGUAGGAAGUUCUUUUGUGGACGUCCCAAAAAGGAAAGAUAUGAAGUUCUUUCGUGGACGGAGGGAGUAUUAUUUUGCAGCAGCAACCACGUUUAAAAACUCGAUCCCUCUAUUCUUGAAUUUGUGAAAUUUCCGACUGAUUUAUUAGAUUCACCAUUUAUUUCAGUUUAAUUAGUCUAUAUAUAGAUAUUUCUUAUAUUAUUAAAUUGUUAACCUCAUGGUAGAUUUCAAGAUUUGAAAAUUCAACAAAGAGCUUGAGAAUUAUAGAGAUUGGAAGGGGAAGAUGAAACAUAGUUGGGUGAAAUUAGAAACCAAUUAAAGUCAGGAGAUUGAAGAAAAACAUAACUUAAAAACACAAAAUAAGCAAAUCGUAGAUGCAGUAUCUUGCAAGAAAAAGUUCAUAUUCCCAAGGCUAUGAUGAGCACGAAUUAGGGUGUGUCUGCAUUUUAUCCCUCUAAAUGGAGGAAUAAUAAAAUUUUAUGCCUUUAAAUGUUUGCUUUCUUAUCACACAUUCUAAACAAACACCAUUUUUUCUUCCUUAUUUUCACUUCAAUGAGGGAUAAUAUUAUCCCUCCAAUUUUGGUGUGAUAAUAUUAUCCCUCCUACAAGUGAAAAUAAGGAAGAAAAAAUGGUACUCCCUUCGUCCCAAACGAAAUGUCCUGUUUUCCUUUUUGGGCUGUCCCAAACGAAAUGUCCUGUUUCCUUUUUUGGCAAUACACUCUCUCUCUAUACUUAAUAUUUAAAUAAUUUUCACCAACCCACUUUAUCUACUUUAUACACAUUUCUUAAUCUCCGUGCCGAAAAGAAAUGGGACAUUUCGUUUGGGACGGAGGGAGUAUUUGUGUAGGAUGUGGGAUAAGAAAACAAACAUUUAAAGACAUAAAUUUUUGUUAUUCCUCCAUUUAGAGGGAUAAAAAGCAAACACACCUUAGAGUCUAAUUACAAUUUAGGCGCAGGCUGUGUGAGAAUUACUUAGUCGAAUAGGAUCCUUAGUAUUUAUAUUUCUCAUGUUCUUGUGUAUUUUUUCACUGAUUCACUAUUGGAUUAACAAGAAUUAUCUUACUUUAAAAAAAAAAAAGAAAUGAUCUUACUUCAUGUAUGGUAUGCCAACUGUUCGAUAAAGGUCCUUUUAGAAAUAUUCCAUAGAUUACCUUGCAAAGACCACAAAACUAGACACACCCUGCAUAGUUUAUACAUAGGGAUGGCCGAUUGAUGAUCGUCUUAUUUGUAGACUUAACGAGAGCAGACUCGAUCGCUUAGUCCUUACUGAUUUACGACACACAUGCACACAUACACAGAUACACACAUCACAAAAUCACGCAAAUUGACGGAUAAUGUUGCCGGCCAGCUCCUUCCUGCUCCACGCCACGGCAUUUUUCUGCACCAUGGUGGCCGUGAAAUACCACGAGACGAUGUCAUGGGUGGCGACGUGUUGUCCGGUGGCGGCGGAUAGCCCGACCUGAACCUCCUGAGCAACAAAGUAGCUCAAAUCGUACUCAUAGCUGACAUCAAACGUCUGAUUGCCGGCGGUGACUUUGACGGAGAUCAUCCUUGUGGCUCCGACGUAGUUGAUCCGCGCAGUUACCUGCUGCUUGAGUAUGGAGCUGUCGACCGGCGUCGUCUUGCUGGAUACCCUAGAGCCGAAGUCGAUGCCGAUGUGGGGAUAGAGCGGAUCCCACGCGCCGUUGACGUAGGUGUCGAUUUCAACGGCGAAGACCCCGGGGCUGUUGCCGUUGGAGCCAAAGAUUCCGAGAUUGGCUCCGUCGGAGCCAGGGGGGAUGGUGGAGUCGACGGGGGCAAUGAAGAAGGCGAGGCCGUCGGCAGGCUCGUUGUCGGCGCCGGGGGUGAUGAUGAAGUUCACGGUGGUUUCGAAGUCGACCUGCCCAUUGGACAUCCAGAAUUGGACCGGUUCCGAGUACAUGACGCGGCCGACUUGGGACGGUUGUGCGUCUGUGAGGCGGAGGAAGGUGGAGUCCGUCGGGAAAUGGGCGUUGCCUUGAUAGAUGAGAUCUUUCGGCUGGUCGCCCCAGAAGUCGAAGGUGAACGACGUCGUUUGGGACAACGCCGUGUUGGAAACGGCGAGGAGGAGGGCGAUGGAGGCGAGGAGAGGAGUUAAGUUGGCCAUGGCUUAAUAGAUUUAGAUUUAGAGAUGUGGUGGAUGAUGGUGGUAUCGAUCUGUUGCACCUAUUUAUACUAGUAUGGUUCAUGCCUGAUAAUAAUUGUAUCAAUCAAUCAUCGUGCAUCUAUCCCAAAUUAUAUGUCUUAUUAUUCACUAAUUAGAUGGAAUAAAUCCUAAUUUGCAAUCUUAAAAUUAAACCGCCAAUGAGGCCUUGCUCUAGUAGCAAAGCUGUGGCACCCAAUAACUUUUCUUUGUGAAAGGUCUUGGGUUCAAUCUCGCCUGCAUGCGGUGAUGUUUGCCCACUUUAGGUGGUGUGGUAUUCUCGCCUGCGUGCGGUGUUAUAUUGUUUAGUGUUAAGGUCCCACAUGCAGGGCGUUCUUGCAUGUGUGCGUGUCACAACCCAAAACCAUUUAUUUUCUUUACAAAUUUUAUAUGAAAAUUAUUUGAUUUUUAAGUUAUAGAGUUUUCGAUAUAUAUACAUAUAGUGUCAAUUUUAUGUUAACUUAGUCGUGUCCCUAAUUAAAAGAAUGAAUUUGAAAUAAAAGUUAAGCCUUAAAAAUUUAAUCUACAUUCAUAUAUAACUGAAAUUACAUGCAUGUCUAAAUAUUAUUUAUAAUUAUCAAUAACGGGAUUAAUGAUUCUAUAUCUCUAUGUUUAUACAUAUAUUCACGUAUGACAUAGUAUAUAUUAGCUAUUAAGUUAAAUAAAAUACUACAGUUUUGCAUAGGAUAUAUAUUUAAUUAGUAGUAGGAUAGGACACGUGUAUUAAUUUUAAGGGCAAGUAAUCAAACUUUUGAAUGAUUCAUCAUGCUUAAAAAAAAGAGACCUAGAUAGAUGAUUCAUCAGAUUCAAAAACAAGUAUAAAUAGACUUCGAGUUUGAAAUUUUAAUUAAUUUGCAACAACCAUUCAAACUGACUGUAUUAAGGUAAGUAGUUACAGAUUUCAUACACAUUAUAUGAUUUCGCGCACAUACGUAUGUAUAUAUAAAUAUUUUUUAAAAUCAUAUAUUAUAUAAUAAUUAUAUUUAAGUUUUAUAUUAUUCUUUAUAAACUAUUGUUCCAUUCUAUAUAAUUAGGUGUGGCAUGACUAGGACGUAACUUUCGAUUGAAUUUCUCAAGUUAAUCUUCAAGUUCAAGUUUCAGGUGUGGGAUUUAUUUAAAUACAUGUCGUGGUUAUUUAUUAUCCAUUUUAAUAAUAUGUGUUUACCAUAUGUGUUAUGAUGCAUAUUUUGAGGAUAUCGCUAGGGGCCCAUAAAUAGGGUCCAGGACUUCACCGUCCUUGGAUUGCCACAAUGCAAUUUGAGGUUUAUUUUGAGGAUGUCGUCAGGGAUCCGUAAAUAGGGUCCAGGACUUUAAUAGUCCUUGGGUUGCCACAGUGCGAAUAUAUUGAGGAUAUAUAUGAAGUGACCGUAUGUGUUACCGUUUCAUUAACGUGGACAAUGAUUGCUUGUUCUCACACUGAGUGUACUCUGUAUGCUCAUCCCAUAUUUAACGUGGAAGGUCGAUUGACGAAUCAAAUAUUUUGUAUUUAGCUUUACCUAAAUAUGUUAUUUUGAGUAAAGUAUUUUAAAUAAAAAUUUAUUUCAUAAUUUUCUCAUUAAAUAUUUAUUUAUAUUCAUAGCUUUUCCGCACAAAUAUUUAUUUAAAUUUUAAUUAGAUUUGGGUGUCACUGUGCGGUGAUGUUUUUCCACCGUUUCGGUGGUGGUGAGGCCCCACCUGCGUGCACGUUAUAUACUUGAUUAUAUUCAGAUACCUCUUGUAAUUUUUAAAAAAAUAAUCAUAAAAUUAAACCAAAGCAUAUAAAAUUGAAAUUGGCCAAAAAAAUAUAUAAAAAUAAAUAAAAUUAAAAAUGGGAUAUAAAGUGAGACAUUAAAUGUGGUACACUACUGAAUCUCAAUCCAACACGUGGAUGCUACAUUGUACUUGUCGGAAUAUUAGAACUUCUACAAAAUAUUGCUAUUGGAAACGUGAAAUUUUAUUAUGAGAAAACUUAUACCUGACCCCACAGUCGUGGGCACGUGUUAUGUUGCGCGGAAAUUAAAGUGGUGGGGACCGUAAAUGGUAUUUUAGUCUUUUAAUUUAUUUUAGUAUACAAAAGAGUUAAUUUUAAAGAGGCGCUAAAAAACACAUCACUUUUAAAAAUUGGUAUUUAAAAUCUUGAACCCCUUUUAUUAUUUUAGAAAGAUAUUAAUUAAUUGAUAAAUUAAUAAAUUAUUAAUUGAAACAAUUAUUUUAAGCAAAUUUAAUUAUAAUUACCUAAAAAUUUAAAAAACAUAAAUUCAAUACCAUUCAAAUUCAACAAACUAACUUAAAUUUUUACUUUAAAAAAUCUUCAUCAAUCUUGCAAUCUCGGCUUGGACUAUAAAUGUUCAACAAGAGACAAUAACCAAUUUUUCAGACAUUUGUGAACAAAAUGAAGCAUGUUUAGAGAUCCUUAAUAAAGGUGUACGAAAUGAUGGAUAAAUAAGUUUGUGAAAAUUUCACCAUACCUAACCCCACAAUUAUUUGCGAUCGAAUAUCCUCGUCACAGGAAAAAGAGAUGAUGACAAAAGGGAAAAAAAAAUUAACAAAGUAGAAGAUGCAUGACAACUGUCAAGAUAAAUAAUGUUACUAAUUAAAUAAUCCAAACUUUAUACGUUUCAUAUCAUAAGUGGCAGUUCUAUAUUUUUUGCGAAAGUGAACAAAAUAACGAAUAAUUUUUAAAGUAAUAGUAAAAGGAGAUGUGUUUUGACAGAAAACGACAUGAGCGGCCUAAAAAUAAGAGGGAAAAAGAUAAUCAUAUAAAUAUUCAAAAUCAAACGGAUUGGCAUGUAUUCAUCAUUUUUUAUUUUAAUAAUUUAACAGUAUUAAAUCAAGAAAUUUAAAGACCGCGCCCCUUACUGCUUGGCUUUAAGAUUAUGUUACAAUAAUAAAAUUAACAGCACGUUUACAAUAUAAAAUUAAUUAUGAUAAAUGCAAUAUAUUAAUAAUAAAUACUCAAUUACCUCUUAACAUAAUUCGCGCAUCAUGGCUUUUAGCUUAUGUUAUAAAGAUGGAGUAUAAAAUAAUCAUCACCUGUGCAUGAUAUUUCACAAAAUAAUUAAAUAAUAAAAUAAUCAAUCAUAAUGCCAAGACGUGACUCUUGUCGGUCAUAUCUCAUCAACUUUAUCUAUAUAGUACAAUGAUGAUUAAUUUGAGAACGACGAUUAAGACACCAACUAUUCUUGUGGGGACACAUGCAUAUAUAGAAUUAAUAUUAUAAACUCUCUCGGUCCACGAAAUAACUUACUAUUUUUUCUUUUAAGAACGUGAACAAAAAAAAUUCCCAUCGAUAUUUCGGAACUAUACCCCACUACUUUAAAAUACCUCAUUUUACCCUUUCUUUUUCACAAAAACAACAAAUUACUAAUAAUUUUUCACUAUUCCUAAUAUACUGAACAAUUUUUCUCCACUCUCAAAUUUUGUAGCACCGAAUAAAAUUAAAUACUAGUAUUAUUUUUUGUAGAACUAUAAAUAAAUAUUAUUCUCAAAACAUGUACUAUUACUUACUAUUUUUUUUAAAUGUGGGACGACCAAAAAAGGAAAGAUGAAUUCUAAAAGCUGGGACAGAGGAUAUAUUAUUUUUCUUCUUGGUUCUGAAGUAUGAAUAUUAAUUAACAAUUCUUCGUCCACAUCAAGCUCACCUUCACGUAAUUUUUUCUUGAACAACACCGAAAAAUAUAUAAUCCCAACAUAGCAUGAUCAAUCUCAAUGCACCAAACAUAAAUUAGUUUUAAAAUAAUAAUAAGAUUAACUACUAUAUUGCUGAAUUAUGCAGUAGAAUUAAAAGCGUGAUUUUUUUUUAAUAGAGCAGGUUAAUCUAGGCCUACCUGAACCAUCUGACUAUGCAUGAGUUUGAUUUUUCUUCUUGAUCUUUUUUAAUUUUACCGACAAAGAAGAUUUUCACAAAUGAAAAGAAAACGUUCUAGUAACAUACUACAUGCUUACUUCAGAUUUGCAACCAAGUCUAUUGAGGGUUUUAUUUGCUACAUAUAUAAACACAAGGAUUUGGUUUGAUACAAAUUAAGAAUAUUCAACUUUCAUCGGCUCAAGCACAUAGAAUCUCCCCGAGUAGUUAUAACUGGUCAAUGUUUUUGCCGAUAAAAAGGAAAAGGAAAGAAAAAAGAAAGAAGCAAGACGGAGAAAAAGUUGUAGUAAAUGAUUAUGCGAUGAAAAGAAAAUGGAAAAGAGAAAGAAAGAAGAAAGUUGUAGGAAUUUUGAAGAAUUUGUACUUAUUUAGAAUUGUGGUUAUUGUGGGAUCUUGUAUAAUAAUAAUAAUAAUAAUAAUAAUAAUAAUAAUAAUUAUUGGGCCGUUCCACGAAUCUUGGCACAUUUUCAAAUAAGGUAAUAAUUCAUUCUCUCUCUUACUUUAUCACUUUAAUACUUUAUUAACUACAAACUUAAAACACUAAUAUACAAUUCCUUAAUUCCCGUGUCGAAACCAAACGUGUCAAGAUUCGUUGGAUGGAGGGAGUAAUAAUAAUAAUAAUAAUAAUAGUAAUAAUAAUAAUAAUAAUAAUAAUAAUACAUCAUUGCCCUUUAAAAAGUUUUAAAAUAGGAACAUAAUAUGUAAAUCUAAUUUUGUAAAAGAAGCUCUUCUAUAGUAAUAGUUAUAGAUUUGGUGUGGAGGCAUUUGUUUGAGAAUGGGUAAAACAUACCAUUAACCCUUUGAUAUAUGCACGAGACACUUAUUUGUGGAUAGGACAAGAAUUAUUUUGUUGCAUAGGAUCCCUUCCAAAUGUAAUUACUGAUUCACAAUUGGAUUAACAAGAAUUAACUUACUUCAUAUUCAGUAUUCCAACUGUUCGAUAAAAGUUCUUAAUGAAAUCUUCCAUAGAUUACCCAAAUGCAUUGUUUUGCAUAGUCCGUACAUUGAGAUGGUCGAGUAUCUUAUGUCUAGACUUAACGAGAGCAGACUCGAUCGCUUAGUCCUUAUUUAUUUACGACACACACACAUCUCAAAAUCACACAAAUUGACGAAUAAUGUUGCCAGCCAGCUCCUUCCUGUUCCACGCGCCAGCAUUUGUCUUCACCAUGGUGGCUGUGAAAUACCAUGAGAUAAUAUCAUGUUUGGCGACGUAUGGUUGGUUUAGUCCGCUGGCGGCGGAGAGCCCUACCUGAACCUGCUCAGGAAGAAACUCGCCCAAAUUGUACACAUGGCUGACCUCAAACGUCUUCGAGCCGGCGGUGGCACUGACGGUGAUCAUCUUCGUGGCUCCGACGUAGUUGAUCCGCGCAGUCACCUGCUGUCCGACUAUGGCGUCUCCGACAUUCGUCGUGUUGCUGGAUUCCCUAGAUCCGAGGUCGAUGCCGAUGUGGGGAUAGUUCGGAUCCCACGGGCUGUUGAUGAAGGUGUCGAACUCGACGGCGAAGACCGAGGGGCUAUUGCCGUUGGAGCCGAAAAUUCCGAGGUUGGCCCCAACAGCGCCACUGGGGAUGGUGGAGCCGACGGGGGCAAUGAAGAAAGCGAGGCCGUCAGCGGUUUUGCCAUCGGGGCUGGGUGUGAUGAUGAAGUUAAUGGUGGUUUCAAAGUCGACUUGGCCACCGGAUUGGGAGAACUGGACCGGCUUCGAGUACAAGACCCGGCCGACCUGGUAUGUCUCGAAGUCGGUGAGGCGGAGGAAGGUGGAGUCCGAUGGGAAAUGGGCGUGGCCUUGGUAGGUGAGAUCGGUCGGCUGGUCGCCCCAGAAGUCGUAGGUGAAGGACGUUGUUUGGGACCACACCGUGUUGGCAGCGGCGGCAAGGAGAAGGGCGAUGGAGAUUAGGGUUUGUUGAAGGUUGGCCAUCGCUUAAUUGAUUUGGAUGUGGUGGAUGAUGGUGGUAUCUUUAUCUUGCUUCUAUUUAUAGUAGUAUAACGAGCCCUAGUUAAUUAUCUUUAAAUCAUACUAAAAUAUCAUAAAUUAAAAUUGAAGAAAAAAAAGUUAAAACCUACUCUCGCAGUCCCUCAAAUAACUUCUUAGGAGAAGAGGGGUAGGAGUUUUAAGACGAAGUUAAUGUGCAAAGUAAGGAUAAAUGAAGUAUUAUAUAUAUAUUAGUACUAGUGUGGUAUAGUCCAAAAUUAAAAAAUAAAGUUUUUUUAAAAAUGGACCAAAUAGAAGAGUUAGGAAGUUAUUGGGGGAAAAGUGGAAGACAACAUAUUGAAAGUGGGAUAUGUGGUACACAAUAAGUUGUAGGACAAAGGAUAUCGCAUGUUGUUGGAAUAUAAACUUGAUUUGUAUAGAUAUUUUAUAAAGAGUAUUCUAGAUAUUUUGAAAAGUAGAAGAAAAAAGAAAAAUCUAGAAUAGUUGAGAAUAAGAUAGAAAAAGAAGAAAAUUCUAGAAUAGUUGAGAAUGAUGAGGAGAUGAAGAAAAAUCUAGAAUUGUUGAGAAUGAGUUAGGAUAAAGUAGAAUUAAUUAGUAGAAUAACCUAGAAAUAGAAUAAUCUAGAAGGUGGGUAUGUACCACUAUAAAUAUGUAACUAUGUUGUGAAAUUGUAA
rnacentral:lncRNA from 1 species